rnacentral:lncRNA from 1 species
GUGGGAAGCGAAAAAAUGUACCAGGAAAGUUUCCAUUCUUAAAAGUCUCCUUAGUGCUGCCAAACACACCAAUGAAUGGUGCAAAUUGGUCUGUAAGUUCAUUGAUUUCCUUGCUGUCUUCUUUUAGAUUCCAACACUGGCCUGAUUCAUGAGGUCCAAAGAGGGUUUGAUGGGGAUCCAGCAUUCCAAUUUGGUCACCACUGAAAAUACUAGGAACAUCUGUUAUAUGAUAAACUGAAUUAAAGCCAAUCCCAAAUCUUCCAACUUUCAGGGGAUCAUCUUUCUUCCUGCUUCUAGCAAUUUCCUGUAUACCAUGCCAGUCCUCAGGCGUGAAAAUUGCAUCAUUGUAUGCAUAAAAUGCUGGCCCCUGAUAUUGAGCCAUGUCCUUGGACCACAGAGUUUCUGUUCCAUAUUGAGUUUCAUCAUAUAAAAACCUAACCUCUGUGGCACCAGCAUCUUCUGCAUUCUGAAUCAGUUCCUUAAGAAUCUGUCCUCCUUCUGGAUAUCUUCUUAAAAUAUCCUUAAGAAAAUCAACAAGCGGUGGAGUCGUUUGUCCAAAACGACCUCCUCCUUUCAAUGCUUCUGACUGAAGUUUUAGAAAAAUUUGAUUUUGAGACUUUUGAAGAUCUACAAUCUUGGUAUCAUCAGACAACUCUCUCCCGCAGUGCCACAGCCGCUGUCGGGCAGCAGGGAAGCCGGCUUCCGCGUCGAUCCGCGCCUUCACGUCGCCCACAUCCGCGGAGGGCGGCAGCUCGAACGUCCUGCAGCCCAGGCAGCCAUGGAGGAUGGUGACCCGGGCCAGCCUGUUCUUAUCCUUGAUCUCCAUUGUCUCUUCUUCUUUGAUAUCUUCCCAAUAGAAUCAUGAAGCAGAUUCUGGAUUUAUAAAUUAGAAAAGGAUUUUUCAGUCUUCUUUUCUUGGUGGCUCAUUACCUCCUCUUCAGUGGACAUUGGAAAGCCAAACACAGCUUAUUUUUCACUCCAUCCCUUCAUUCCAAAAGACUGUUUUAUGUCGCACCAUCUACUACUUCUCCAGGUUUCUUCUAAAACUCAGUGGUAAUUGUUCACAGGCCUUGCCUUUCUCAUAAUAAGGAACAGACUUAAGCAAGGUCUUGCUUAGUUUUUUUUAAACUGAAUUCAAGAUGAUGCUUUUGUGCAAUUGAUUUCUAAUAAUUUUUCUGGUGAAGGUGUGGAAGUGCCACAGUUGCUGUUUCUGUUUUUAAUUCCUUUCUUCUGGAAACAGACAAAGUUGAAAUAUUAUUUGUGAAGGCCAAACUCUUGACUUGUCUUCCCCCUCACACAUGCUAGAAGACACUUCUUAACAUCAGCUCAGGAGUUAGCAUCGGCCAGGACAAAGCUCUGUGUUUAACUAUUCCUUCAUAAACUGCUUCCACAUGCUUGUCUGCUCAUUGUGCCAUUUCUUCCACUGGUUGCUUGUGUUUGACAGCAUCUGGACAGCAAAAUGAUCCUUCUUCCUCCUCUCUUGCAAAAUCAGCAAGCUGCGGAGGGAUGCGUGACCACUGCUGCAGCCUCUGUGUAUG